AACUGACUUUCAUUCAUUAUUCCCUGCUCUAGAAUGUUGGCAAGAGGCGAUGAGAUAUUUGGUGCGCUUCCAAACAGGUUCUAGCGUUGAAACGACGGACGAUGACAAGAAGAGAAAGAGAAAGAGAAUCUCAAAUUCCAAGUACAGACCCCAGGCCUCUUCUGAUGAAGAGGAGUCUAGUCUUCCAGAUGCACCAGCAGUGCUGUCGUUUGGGCAACCUCUUUUGAGCUUUGAAAACAUUGUUCCUGGUAACAAGGUUUCAGUGCUGCCCGAUGCUCCAGAAGUUGCAUCGAUUCCAGAAAACCAGGAAAAUGUUGUGCCAUCUGUAGACUUCAGAGGUGAACCAGGUUUCUCCCCAGAAAUUCAGACUCCACUUCACAGAGCCAAGAGUUUGAGUACAAGACACUUGACUGGUUACUCGCCGCAGCAGUUUCUGGAUGAAAGGUGUCGAGCUCGUCAAGUACUAAGCUUUACACCCCCAGCAGCAAAUUUACCCUGGCAGCAUAUGGGUGAAAACGCUGGAGGAGAAAGUCAUCGCUCUGUAAUUGGCCCUUGGACUCCCCUGGCAUCUCGUGUACAGCAUGAAGUUUUCAGCUAUGAAGAUUUCCAGAGACUCCAGAAUGAAAAACAAGCCGUGAACCAAGCUCUGAGGGAGGAGAACCAAGCUCUGAGGGAAAGCACUGCACGAGCAGCUUCGGAUGACAGCGGCUCACUUCAAGAGCAGGUGAAGCAAGUUGGGACAAUGUUGAAGACGUUUGCUCGCACUGGGCAAUCAGGUGCAGAUCAGACCUUAAUGCUGCGACGUCUUGGAGAGUUUGGCGAUGUUGUGCGUAGCAUGGACAACAAAAUGGACACUAUGCUGCAACAUUUCAGUGCCAAUGGAAGAUUUGGUGUUGCUUGACAACAGUUUGAGGCAGGAUAAAGAGCUCCAGGAACGAUUUCUUCGGUUUUUGGCAAUCAAAUGUGGGAGGGACCUAAAGACAACCGUCUGGCGGAUGCUUCAAAGUAUCUUCUCUAAUCACCUUUCCAUCAAUACAACCUGGACUGGAGUUGGGGAUAAAGCAUGUUUUAGAGACAUGUUCCUGAAGACCAUUGUUCAAAGUAAGUUGGAUGUAAAAAAAAAAAAAAAAAAAAAAAAAUAUGUUUAGUAGAUGUGUAUGGCAUUAUGCCAUUCAAAUGGAAUGACAGAUCUGUAUUUUCUACAGGAGCCAUCCGGAAGAACCCGGCAACACAGGAUGCCACUGAUGAAGCCAUCCAGGUUAACGUUACGCGUUACCUGAAAGGAGCAUCUGACCGUGAAGGCGGAAAAAGGCGCCGCACAGCUGAGAGGGACCCACAGCCGACCCCUUAAACCUAGGCUGACUACUGACAUCCCAGCAUCACUGACAACUGGAACCCUUUCUUUAUCCUGCAGUCAGUAACAUCAAGACCCCUAAAGAAGCCAGAAGUGUCAGACUGCACUCCCCAAUCCACACUGUUCACUGUGGAUAUUAUCAUAGUGCUUAACUUAUUAUAUUGUUAAAUAUAGCUUGUAAAUCCUUGUGCCACAGGUCAGCAUUGCAGUUAUAUCUGUUCUACUACUUUUUUUACCUCAGUAUUUUUUAUAUAUAUUUGAAGAUGUUUAUCACAGAUACAAGAGACAUCUUGUACCCCAGGUCAGCAAUGCCAUUAUAAUGGUCUAUUCUACUCCAGAGCUUUAUUCUAAAUUAUUACCACUUAUCUUAUUGUUAGAAAUGGCUUGUAAAUGUGAUGUUAUACCUGAAUUUUUUUUGGUGUCCUGCACAUUCUUUGGUACCAGAUAUACUCAUUACUUAUGUUUUCUGGUAAUUCUUUUCAUGCCAGAGCUGACCUCUUUAUAUUAUUAACAAUUAUUGUAAGUGUUAUAAUUUGCUUGUAAGCUAAGGCUGUUUUUUUUUUUUUUUUACAAUUUAAUUGGAAACCUGCAUGUGUGUGUGUGUGUGUGUGUGUGUGUGUGUGUAUUUAUUUUAUUUUUUUCUCUUUUUUUCUGUUAUUUAUAUUUCAGGGAUCUGACAUCAUGUUUCAAUGACAGUUACUGUACUUUGAAAUGUGGAAUUAAAACGUCAAAUGGAAAUUUGUCUGGUUUGAUCAAUCAUUAUUCUUGAUAAACUGCAUUAUAUAUAUAAUAUAUAAUAUAUAUAUAAAUAAAUAAAUAAGCAAGCGGCGACCGAUCGCUCGAAAAUAGCGUUUGCCUCCGACGGGCCGCGGAAGGGUCGCCUUUGAUAUAACGGCGGCGGGACGGCGGUUGGCCCGCGGGCCGGCCGCGGAACGAAGGCGGUAGGAAGGCGGCUGCCGCUUCUAAAAAGCGGCUGCCGCCGGCGGUGCACCGUCAAACGUGUUUGCGAUUACGCUAUUCUGACGCUUCUACUGCCGCCGGAGCGCCGCCGGCGGUCCGCCGACUCAUUGCUAUCUGGGAUGUCACAGAACUCUUCCCGCGCUCUCCGUCAGAAUUCAAACAUUAACGGUCGAACUUGGCGGCUGUUCGCUUUCUUAUGUGUGAUUAUUUUCAUAUAACGUUUUGGGCACUUCCAUUUUAACAAAUAAAGUGAAAGUACCACAAAACAUGAAACGAAGAUGUCUUGGACGAGGAGAGCUCGUCCAAAUUUGUGGUAAGAAAUAAUAUCCUUUUAUUAUCAUAGUUAAGCUUAAUCGCGUUUGUGAACGUUACGUAAUUUGGAGCAAUUUAUUUAAUGAAAGUAGGUGUAUUCUGGUCGUCAUCGUGGACAUUGUGUCUCCACCAUUAUGCUUUUCAUCACUUAAAGGUCUUCAGGAUGUAAUUUUGAUUAAAUUUGGGCUUUGUCUGAUUCAAGGUAAUGUUAUACCCUCACUAAUCGCGAUGCGCUGUAUAAAUCCCCUUCAGACAUAGUAAACGGAU
ensembl:lncRNA